rnacentral:rRNA from 1 species
CCUACGGGAGGCAGCAGUAGGGAAUAUUGCACAAUGGAGGAAACUCUGAUGCAGCGACGCCGCGUGAGUGAUGAAGGCCUUCGGGUCGUAAAGCUCUGUCGCAGGGGAAUAACACAAUGAAUGUACCCUGUAAGAAAGGAUCGGCUAACUUCGUGCCAGCAGCCGCGGUAAU